AGCAUGCGAAAGGCUGAUUUUCUAGAAUAAAAUGAAUAGUUAAAGGCUUAAACUAAACCAAAUUGACUAUUAUCUAUUAGCUCAAAAUAUGAUUACAACUUUAGUUAAAUUUUGUGCGCGAGCCAUUUUUAAUUUGUUGGAAAAGACACCCCCCUCCCCCUGGUUCACAAAAUAUGAGUUUGAGAAUUUUUUUUCAUUAUUCUACAUUAUAAGUACCCAAAGAAGCUAAAUAUAUACUUAUAAAAAACCGGAUACAAAUAGGUGUUUUGCGAUUUCAAUUUGUUGGCGAGCAAUUUCAAUUUGUUGGCGAGCGAGUGGGGGGGGGGGGGGGGGGGGGGGGAGGAGGUUGUAAAAAAAUUUUUCCGGACUUAAAAAUUUUUUCAGGACACAAAUUUUGCACAAAUUAGGUUUAGAAAAUUUUUUUCACACCAUUACUUAUAUAAAAAAUAGUUCAAAAUUAUUUUUCUCUUACUUUCCUUACACUGCAUGUACCUCUGAUAGGUCCUGUCAACUUAUAAUUUUCCAUAUUGAAAAGUCUCUGCACGAAUUUUUUUUUUCAAACAUUUCUGGUGCACGAAUAUUUUUUCUGUUUCCCCUGCUCGAUUUUUAUUUUUGCUUUUGCCGCC